rnacentral:rRNA from 1 species
UGGGGAAUAUUGGACAAUGGGCGAAAGCCUGAUCCAGCCAUGCCGCGUGAGUAAUGAAGGCCCUAGGGUUGUAAAGCUCUUUUGUGCGGGAAGAUAAUGACGGUACCGCAAGAAUAAGCCCCGGCUAACUUCGUGCCAGCAGCCGCGGUAAUACGAAGGGGGCUAGCGUUGCUCGGAAUCACUGGGCGUAAAGGGUGCGUAGGCGGGUUUCUAAGUCAGAGGUGAAAGCCUGGAGCUCAACUCCAGAACUGCCUUUGAUACUGGAAGUCUUGAGUUCGGGAGAGGUGAGUGGAACUGCGAGUGUAGAGGUGAAAUUCGUAGAUAUUCGCAAGAACACCAGUGCCGAAGGCGGCUCACUGGCCCGAUACUGACGCUGAGGCACGAAAGCGUGGGGAGCAAACA